UGGGGAAUAUUGCACAAUGGGCGCAAGCCUGAUGCAGCCAUGCCGCGUGUGUGAAGAAGGCCUUCGGGUUGUAAAGCACUUUCAGCGGGGAGGAAGGCGAUAAGGUUAAUAACCUUGUCGAUUGACGUUACCCGCAGAAGAAGCACCGGCUAACUCCGUGCCAGCAGCCGCGGUAAUACGGAGGGUGCAAGCGUUAAUCGGAAUUACUGGGCGUAAAGCGCACGCAGGCGGUUUGUUAAGUCAGAUGUGAAAUCCCCGGGCUCAACCUGAGAACUGCAUCUGAUACUGGCAAGCUUGAGUCUCGUAGAGGGGGGUAGAAUUCCAGGUGUAGCGGUGAAAUGCGUAGAGAUCUGGAGGAAUACCGGUGGCGAAGGCGGCCCCCUGGACAAAGACUGACGCUCAGGUGCGAAAGCGUGGGGAGCAAACAGG
rnacentral:rRNA from 1 species